CCUACGGGGUACAGCAGUGGGGAAUAUUGGGCAAUGGACGCAAGUCUGACCCAGCAACGCCGCGUGAAGGAAGAAGGCUUUCGGGUUGUAAACUUCUUUUAAUGGGGAAGAGCAUAAGACGGUACCCCUUGAAUCAGCCACGGCUAACUACGUGCCAGCAGCCGCGCGAAUACGUAGGUGGCAAGCGUUGUCCGUAUUUACUGGGUGUAAAGGGCGUGCAGCCGGAGAGGCAAGUCAGAUGUGAAAUCCGCGGGCUCAACUCGCGAACUGCAGUUGAAACUGCUUCCCUUGAGUAUGGGAGAGGUAAUCGGAAUUCCUAGUGUAGCGGUGAAAUGCGUAGAUAUUAGGAAGAACACCAGUGGCGAAGGCGGAUUACUGGACGACAACUGACGGUGAGGCGCGAAGGCGUGGGGAGCGAACAGGAUUAGAUACCCUAGUAGUC
rnacentral:rRNA from 1 species